GACGUAGGGCGCGAGCGUUGUCCGGAUUUAUUGGGCGUAAAGAGCUCGUAGGCGGCUUGUUGCGUCAGCUGUGAAAACCCGCAGCUCAACUCUGGGCGUGCGGUCGAUACGGGCAUCACUUGAGUUCGGCAGGGGAGACUGGAAUUCCUGGUGUAGCGGUGAAAUGCGCAGAUAUCAGGAGGAACACCGGUGGCGAAGGCGGGUCUCUGGGCCGAUACUGACGCUGAGGAGCGAAAGCAUGGGUAGCGAACAGG
rnacentral:rRNA from 1 species